rnacentral:rRNA from 1 species
GACAGAGGGGGCAAGCGUUGCUCGGAAUUACUGGGCGUAAAGGGCGCGUAGGCGGGAUGGCAAGUCGGUCGUGAAAUCCUUCGGCUCAACCGAAGAACGUCGAUCGAUACUGCUGUUCUAGAGGAUUGCAGAGGAGACUGGAAUUCCCGGUGUAGCGGUGAAAUGUGUAGAGAUCGGGAGGAACACCGGUGGCGAAGGCGGGUCUCUGGGCAAUUCCUGACGCUGAGGCGCGAAAGCCAGGGGAGCAAACGGG